rnacentral:piRNA from 1 species
UGUGAACAGCCUCAAGGAAGAAGCCUCA